rnacentral:misc_RNA from 1 species
AUUGGAGAGCGUGCUCUCCUGGCGGUCGACCUAGCAGUCUCCUCGAGAGACAUAUUUCGCGGCCGGGGCCGCCCUCAUAUCUCUUCAUAGAAGCGUUUCGCGCUCCGCGCGAAACGCGAGCCAACGCGCCGCCGGCGCAACGCCUCGCGGCAAGCGUUUUCGCGUCCGCGAAAACGCAGAGAGCUGGCGCAGAGCACGGCUCGCAACAGCUCGUUCGCGCAACGAGCCAACGAUCGGCGCUCGCCGCCGCGUCGCCGCGGAGCGAAUUCCGCUGCGCGUUCCGGGGCCUUAGCUCAUCUGGGAGAGCGCCUGCUUUGCACGCAGGAGGUGGUCGGUUCAAGUCCGACAGGCUCCACCAAAAGCUUUGCAACGCCCCCAUUGACCGCCGCGUUUCGCCGUGCUUCAGGGGAGCCGCGUCAUGGGUCGGUAGCUCAGGUGGUUAGAGCGCACGCCUGAUAAGCGUGAGGUCGGAGGUUCAAGUCCUCCUCGACCCACCAUGCGCAUCGCAUCACAGGUGAUCAGACAUCUGACAUCGACUUUACGAAGUUGAUGUCAGAUCUCUGCUCGCAGAGAUCUUUUACAUCGUGAAGAGAGAGUUAUGGAUUGCGCAAAGCGUUGCUCCAGCAAUGCUUGAGUUGACGCGCAAUCCAAGUCUUGACUGACUGACCGAUGGCGGUCGCAUGUUCCCGAGUUCCGGAGCACGACCGUCUAACUGAGCGAUCUGAAGAGCACGCAGCGCGUGUUUUCUUCUGGAUCGGAUCAAGCGCAAGAAGGGCGUUUGGUGAAUGCCUUGGCGAUCAGAGGCGAUGAAGGACGUGAUACGCUGCGAUAAGCCGUGGGGAGCUGCGAAUAAGCUUUGAUCCGCGGAUUUCCGAAUGGGGAAACCCGGAAGC